UCCGCAGGCGGCCAUGUAAGUGAAAGGUGAAAUCUUUCGGCUCAACCGAAAAAUUGCCUUUCAAACUGUAUGGCUAGAGGAUGGAAGAGGAGAGUGGAACUGCUAGUGUAAAGGUGAAAUUUGUGGAUAUUAGCAGGAACGCCCGUGGAGAAGUCGGCUCUCUGGUCCAUUCCUGACGCUCAGGGACGAAAGCUAGGGGAGCGAACA
rnacentral:rRNA from 1 species